rnacentral:rRNA from 1 species
AGGGUUUGAUCAUGGCUCAGGAUGAACGCNGGCGGUAUGCUUAACACAUGCAAGUCGUACGUGAGUCUUUGACUCAAGUGGCGGACGGGUGAGUAACACGUGAGAACUUGCCUUUAGGAGGGGAAUAACAUUUAGAAAUGGAUGCUAAUGCCCCAUAUGCUGAAAAGUGAAACAGAGAAAUCUGCCUAAAGAGAGGCUCGCGUCUGAUUAGCUAGUUGGUGGGGUAAAGGCCUACCAAGGCGACGAUCAGUAGCUGAUUUGAGAGGAUGAUCAGCCACACUGGAACUGAGACACGGUCCAGACUCCUACGGGAGGCAGCAGUGGGGAAUUUUCCGCAAUGGGCGCAAGCCUGACGGAGCAAUACCGCGUGAGGGAAGACUGCCUACGGGUUGUAAACCUCUUUUGUCAAGGAAGAAGUUCUGACGUUACUUGACGAAUAAGCAUCGGCUAACUCCGUGCCAGCCGCCGCGGUAAUAC